GGAAGAGUGCCCAGGUCUUAACCUCUACCUUAUUCUCAACCAGGGCCCGUGUACCCCUAUUCCGGCCUGCUUCUGGUGCUGGGCCUCCGAGACCCAGAAAUGACUGAUGAGUAAAAUGGGGACAGUGUGAUGACAGUACUUCAUAGAGUUUUAUGUGAGGGCGAAGUGAGAUCCUACAUGUCUGGCACAAAGCUGACGUUUGGUCUCAGCCUGAUCCAGUUGAGGGAAGCCACUGACCUACAGCACAAAGGAAGUGUCCUAACCCAGGCCAGAGGUGUGCUGUCAUGAAAGAUACCGUGG